rnacentral:rRNA from 1 species
GGGGGGGGGGGGGGGGGGGGGGGGGGGGGGGGGGGGGGGCGGGGGGGGGGGGAGCGGGCGGCUCGGGCGGUCGCGGCGGCCGGGUGAGUCGCACGGGGCUAACCUGCCUGUAAGCCUGGGAUAGCUGCGGGACACCGGGGCUAAUCCCGGAUGAUAUAUUGACCCGCAUGGGUCCAUGGUGAACGCCGGUUUUGCUGUCACUUAUAGAUGGAUCCGCGCCGCAUUCGCUCGUUUGUACGGUACCGGCUUACCAAGGCAACGAUGCGUCUCCGACCUGCGCGGGUGAUGGGCCAACCUGGAACUGAGACACGGUCCAGACGCCUACGGGAGGCAGCAGUAGGGAAUCUUCCGCAAUGGGCGAAAGCCUGACGGAGCAACGCCGCGUGAGUGAUGAAGGUCUUCGGAUCGUAAAACUCUGUUAUUAGGGAAGAACAAAUGUGUAAGUAACUAUGCACGUCUUGACGGUACCUAAUCAGAAAGCCACGGCUAACUACGUG